rnacentral:tRNA from 2 species
GCGAAAGUGGCGGAAUAGGCAGACGCGCUGGACUUAGGAUCCAGUGGGAUAAUCCCGUAGGGGUUCAAGUCCCCUCUUUCGCACCA